UGGUCGGUGUAAGACCGAUCCUAGCAGUUUCCUGUUCAGCUAGGUAGCUUGGGGCAAAUGCGAGGGGUAACCGUAAGCAUUAAGCUGCCCGACGGAAGUCAUGAGUAGCAUGGCAAGCAACCCUUCAGGCCGUAACGCGA
rfam:Candidate division WOR_1 bacterium DG_54_3 WOR1_52_54_73960, whole genome shotgun sequence.